AUGGCAUCGCUGCAGCCCACAGCCCUGUGCCUUCCAUUGCAUGCUCUGAGCUCAGAGCUUGCAUGUGGCACCCCCCCAGCUCUGCACCUUGCAACCUGCAGACCCCCAUCCUCACCAUGGCACAGCCCAGCAGUCCCUCUGCCUGGCACCAUGCACCUUGCACCCAUGCACCUUGAAUCACACAGCCUGCAUCCAUGCACCCUGCAUCCUUUAUUCCAUAAACUCUACACCCUUCAUCCCACACGUACUUUAUCCCUCACACCCCAAAGUCUGCAUCCAUGCACCCUACACCCUUCGUUCCCCACACACUACACCCUACGCCCCAUGCACCCUUCAUUCCAUUCACUUUGCUUCUCAUGCACCUUCAUCCAAUGCACUCUAAACCCUUUAUUCCAUGCACCGAACACACUCCAUCCCAUACACCCUUCAUCCAUUGCACUACACCCUGUAUCCCAUGUACCCUUAAUCCCAUGCACCUUUUGUCCCUCAUACCCUACACCCUCCAUCCAAUGCUCUACACCCCACACCCAAUGCAUCCUUAUUCCUACCCCUUCAUCCCUCAUACCCUACACCCUCCAUCCCAUACACCCUUCAUCCAUUGCACUACACCCUGUAUCCCAUGUACCCUUAAUCCCAUGCACCUUUUGUCCUCAUACCCUACACCCUCCAUCCCAUGCACCCUUCAUCCAGUGCUCUACACCCACAACCCAAUGCAUCCUUAUUCCUACCCCUUCAUCCCUCCAUACGCCUAAUCACCCUCCAUCCCAUACACCCUUCAUCCAUUGCACUACACCCUGUAUCCCAUGUACCUUUAAUCCCAUGCACCCUUCAUACCCUACACCCUCCAUCCAAUGCUCUACACCCCACAUCCAAUACAUCCUUAUUCCUACCCCUUCAUUCCUCAUACCCUACACCCUCCAUCCAGUGCUCUACACCCAACACCCAACACAUCCUUAUUCCUACCCCUUCAUCCCUCAUACCCUACAUCCUCCAUCCAAUGCUCUACACCCCACACCCAAUGCAUCCUUAUUCCUACCCCUUCAUCCCUCAUACCCUACAUCCUCCAUCCAAUGCUCUACACCCCACACCCAAUGCAUCCUUAUUCCUACCCCUACAUCCCUCAUACCCUACACCCUCCAUCCAAUGCUCUACACCCCACACCCAAUGCAUCCUUAUUCCUACCCCUUCAUCCCUCAUACCCUACACCCUUCAUCCAAUGCUCUACACCCAACACAUCCUUAUUCCUACCCCUACAUCCCUCAUACCCUACACCAUCCCAUGCACCCUCCAUCCAAUGCUCUACACCCAACACAUCCUUAUUCCUACCCCUUCAUCCCUCAUACCCUACACCCUCCAUCCAAUGCUCUACACCCUCAUCCUCCACUCCGUCCCCUCCGCAGCCGGUUCAGCACCGCGGACAGCGCCUCGCCGGUCCCGGUACCGGUCCAGGUGCCGGUCCAGAUGCUCUAUAGGCACUGA
rnacentral:lncRNA from 1 species